rnacentral:tRNA from 1 species
GGGCUCAUAACCCGAAGGUCGCAGGUUCAAAUCCUGCCCCCGCAA